UUGGUGACCAGCGGAGGGAUCAUUACCGAGUUUACAACUCCCAAACCCAAUGUGAACGUUACCAAACUGUUGCCUCGGCGGGGUCACGCCCCGGGUGCGUCGCAGCCCCGGAACCAGGCGCCCGCCGGAGGAACCAACCAAACUCUUUCUGUAGUCCCCUCGCGGACGUAUUUCUUUACAGCUCUGAGCAAAAAUUCAAAAUGAAUCAAAACUUUCAACAACGGAUCUCUUGGUUCUGGCAUCGAUGAAGAACGCAGCGAAAUGCGAUAAGUAAUGUGAAUUGCAGAAUUCAGUGAAUCAUCGAAUCUUUGAACGCACAUUGCGCCCGCCAGUAUUCUGGCGGGCAUGCCUGUCCGAGCGUCAUUUCAACCCUCGAACCCCUCCGGGGGAUCGGCGUUGGGGAUCGGGACCCCUCACACGGGUGCCGGCCCCUAAAUACAGUGGCGGUCUCGCCGCAGCCUCUCCUGCGCAGUAGUUUGCACAACUCGCACCGGGAGCGCGGCGCGUCCACGUCCGUAAAACACCCAACUUUCUGAAAUGUUGACCUCGGAUCAGGUAGGAAUACCCGCUGAACUUAAGCAUAUCAAUA
rnacentral:rRNA from 1 species